rnacentral:rRNA from 1 species
AUGGGUGCAGUCACUCGUGAUAAAAAGGGGAAGUUCAUUGCCGUGUGUAAUGCACGUUUGGAUAUGGUUCAAGAUGUUCUGUCGGCGGAAGCUUUGGUGCUCAAGCACGGCUUGUUCUUAGCUAAAUCCAUGGGUUGUAAUAGAGCUGUUGUGAGUUCUGAUAAUUGUGAAUUAAUAGAAAUUAUGAAGAAUGAGAGGCCCCAUACAGCCCAUGAACUAGCCCAGUUAGCUAAAUUCCACACUAGUAGGGUCUGGUUGGAUGAUCCUCCCCCUCUAUUGUACCUCUCAUGA